UGUGCACAUUCUGAUACUGAGCUCAGCAGAGGUACAAGAGAAAUAUACCGCCACGGCUUCCUUCAAAGAGCUCGCCGCAUGGCUGGGAAGCAGUAGCAGGGAGGCUUCGCUCAGUGCAGACGGCUCGAUGGGUCUUUUCAAUAUUCUGUCACAAGAUCACCAGUGAAUCUCUGCGGAACAAAAGAUUUCCUUCGCUUCUCGUCUCAGUGCAAGGUGACACCAUGGAAGGUCAGAGAGGUUAGGGAUCUAAUUGCCCAAGGGGCAAUGCCAGCAAGUGGAAACAGAGCCAGAACCUGAACCCACGUCUGCCUAACUCCAAAGACAGCUCUUUCUGUAUGGUGUCCUGCUUGAACUCAGAAUGGGUGCUUUUGGGGCUGUCUGAGAAACGGGAGUGAAGAAUCUCCCAGGCGGCUGGGAGGAGGGCAGGGCCUGGCUGGAGACCCCCAGAGCAGAGUACAGGGACCACGUGGAAAAAGGGAGAUGCAGAAUCAGAGCCCCAGAGCAGUGGGUCGUGGAGGUCGAGGGCCUGGGGCCUAAAAAGGAAGUCACAUUCUUUGAGCGUCGUGUGUCCCAGGCUCUGACGCAUGUGUUGAAGAAUGAAUCAUCAUUGUCCUGCAGACCAUCUAUGACAGAGGAGGUGAAGAUCAAGCCCUGGCCCAGUCACACGGGAGGCACUGUGGAGCUGUGGAGCCCGAAGCAGCAGACAGAGGGGUGAGGAGGGCCUGCGCCCUGUGGCAGGUGGGGGCCUCUAGGUGCCCCCUGCGGUGGGAAAGGCCCUGCCAAGAAGUCCUCGCUCUCCCUCCUGUCUAACAUCAGCCUGCUCCCAACGGCUGGCUCCCAUUCUCCUUCCUCCACAAAGCAAACUCCCAUCCCCAGUCGGGCAGGCCACCUGCUCUCUACACCCCAAGGCCACCUCGGCCUAUGUCGGGGUGAGCUUCCGCCCUCAAUGGGACCUAGAAGGCGCAAGAGAAGAGCAUGAGGUGGCAGCCAUGUGCUGGGGGCCUGGAUCCUGGGACCCAGAUGCUGGGUCAUAUGGGGCAGCUGUGAGGUCUGUACUGGGGUCUCAACCCUGCAUUCUAAGUGGGGUGAGGAGGGAUUUCCUUUAGAAUCCCCUCGGUGUCUCCCAAGGGUGUUUCUCUUGGUUAGUGGCAUCGAGUUUGGCUCCUGGCUCUUUACAGCAGGGUCACUCUGAGCAAGACAGGCUUUUUGCAGCAGAAAUGACUGCUGGCAUCGAACCCUCAAGAGGACAGGACCUGAGACGGGCCAUCCUUACUAUUGGGUUCACAGGCAGCGAGGGCCCAGUGCCCAGCUGGCAUUAGAAGAUGGGAGCUUUCCUUGGCAUGUGGUGGAGAAAGUCACAGGGCUGUGGCCAGUGCUCACCAGGAGUGAAGCCCCAUGAAGCCCUGGGUGUGGCUGGCUGCUUGCCAUGGGGUGAAGCAUGUGCGGGUUGUGGGGCAGCAGGUCCCAGUGUCAGUGGGGGUUUACAGAAGGAAAACCGCAGGCUCAAGGCAUAGAAACAGAACCAGCCAGAGAGCUUGUAGUCAGAGUCUCUGGACUGAUGCAACUUACAACCCGAGCCGAGUCUGGUUUCAACACAGGGCAAACUCACAGCCCCUCCAGGUCUCUGAUUGAAAUGCUAUGGCAUUGUUGGCAACCAGCCGGAGCCUUCGGAUUGUAUCCAGGACUUCGGGAAUGUUCACCUCACUGAUUCCCAACCCCCAAAGCCCACAGAGCUGCCUUUGCAAACGAAAGCAGCCCCUUCUUCCUGUCUGGUGAGCUGGAGACCUUGUGCACAGCGCACCCAUUGCCUUUAGACCUGUCACCCAGCAGGACGCAGGAGCCGGUAAGUACCCACUUUUGGAGACAGGAGGAGUAUGCCUCCCAAAAAGCAAUAUUUGCCAAUGUAUUUUGUCAAAAACUUGGGGAAUAUGUCAGGCACGGUGGCGCACACCUGUAAUCCCAGCACUUUGGGAAGCCAAGGGAGGUGGA
rnacentral:lncRNA from 1 species